GUAGGGGGCAAGCGUUACUCGGAUUUACUGGGCGUAAAGCGAAUGUAGGCGGCUAAUUAAGUCAGUGGUGAAAUCCCUCAGCUCAACUGAGGAACUGCCUUUGAUACUGAUUGGCUAGAGGACAGGAGAGGAAAGUGGAAUUCCCGGUGUAGCGGUGGAAUGCGUAGAUAUCGGGAGGAACACCAGAGGCGAAGGCGGCUUUCUGGACUGGUCCUGACGCUGAGAUUCGAAAGCUAGGGGAGCAAACAGGGAUUAGAUACCCUGGUAGUCCUAGCUGUAAACGAUGGAUACUAGAUCUUGCAAGAUUUUGCUUGGUCGUAGCUAACGUGUUAAGUAUCCCGCCUGGGGAGUACGGUCGCAAGGCUG
rnacentral:rRNA from 1 species